GAAUACAGAUGCCUGUCGAGCUUGCUCACGGGCUUUCUAUCAUAUCCAUAACACCUGUGCACUUGUUGGAUGAUCUAGAGACAUAGGGCUAGUCCCAAAGUCAAUAGUCAUCCACUUACACUAAACAAUAAUGUAACAAAUGUAGUCUUAUUAUAACAUAAUAAAACUUUCAACAACGGAUCUCUUGGCUCU
rnacentral:misc_RNA from 1 species